UACGAAGGGUGCAAGCGUUACUCGGAAUUACUGGGCGUAAAGCGUGCGUAGGUGGUUUGUUAAGUCUGUUGUGAAAGCCCCGGGCUCAACCUGGGAAUGGCAAUGGAUACUGGCAAGCUAGAGUGCGGUAGAGGGUAGUGGAAUUCCCGGUGUAGCGGUGAAAUGCGUAGAGAUCGGGAGGAACACCAGUGGCUAAGGCGGCUACCUGGACCAGCACUGACACUGAGGCACGAAAGCGUGGUGAGCAAACAGG
rnacentral:rRNA from 1 species